AUUUCAGAUUUCAUAAAUAAAAAGAAAAUUUCUUCAAACAUUUUUUUGAGAGGAUUAACAUUCAACAGCAUAGUUAAUUGCUCAAAAGCAGUUCAUUAGGCCACAUUCAUUCUAUGUCAGAAACCUAUGCUGUGUCAACUAUUUAAUCACAAUCCAAAUUUAGAGCUAAAUCCAGCUUGAAUGUUGUGUCCAUACUUGCCCCAAC
rnacentral:lncRNA from 1 species